AUAAGAUUAUACAAUCAAAAGAAGCAUGGGCCGAGACAUCUGGUCGACUACAGCGUGGGGAAUUUGAUAUAGUGGGACCACCAGUCGUAAUGAUGCUUGGACGAAUACGGUUAUUUGAUUACGUGGGCGUCUUCGAAGACGAAACCAGCGCUUUGCUUACUCCCGCUUUGACUGAGGAGAGCUCCCUUCUAUCAACUGUCAAACCCUUUCAACCCAUCGUAAGUAUUUUCUGACCCAUCUAAAUAUGUUUCUCUUAAUUUUUGGUCCCUCAUAAUUUCUCCCCAAAAAAGGUAUGGUUAAUGGUGCUCAUCUCCUUGCUGGCGGUGGCCAUCUAUUUCUUCGCAACUUCGAGGUUAAACCUUAGUGGCUCGGAUUAUAAGAAUUCGAGGUCGUUCGGUAUUGGGGACUAUGUCUUGUACACUACAGCAAUUUUGACAAACCAAGGUACACUAAUCUAUUAUUUAGCCUACUGUACAGAUUUUCAAACAUUUUUGUUUUUCUACUUAAAAAAAAAAUAAAAAAGGCUCCGUGUUUUGGCAACCAAACCAGCAAUCACGAAUAUCAUUCCGUUUAACGGCUGGGGUUUGGUGCCUGUUUGCCUUAGUUAUGGUCAACGUUUACAGUGGCACACUCACGGCCCACAUCACUGCUAGGAAGAUGAGCGUUCCACCCGAAAAUAGUACCGAAGUUAUGGAACAAGAAAUUUUACCUUACCUUGUUGUAACCGACGGUUUAGGCCGCGAUUUGAUUUUGGUUUGACGGAUUUUAUCAACUACGAAGAUUUUUUCAGUUGUUCAUUCGUUGAUAUUUUUCAUUUUGGGGCAGAGCGCCACUAGCGGGCCGUUGAAGAAAAUGGGCGACAUAUUUCGUCGCCAUCCGGAAUAUUUCAUUCCCGAUCAAGAAACCGGUUUUCAAAAAACUGCAUCGGGGUGUUGUGCCUAUAGUGAUUUGGUGAAUUUUUUGAAAUUCCGCAUCGGCAAGGAUUUUCAAGAAACUGGUAAAUGUCGGGUCCACAUAGGAAAGCCAAUCAAAGGCUAUGGAUUUUCAGGUCUGAUUCUUAGGAAGAAGAG